UGAUAUUAAAAACCAUAAAAACCGACUCUUCCUGGAGAUAAUGAGAAUUAUUCAUAUUAAAACCACGACCUUCCUGUAGUCAUUAAUUUUUAGAUAUUAUCUCUUGGUAUAAAUUGAGUGUCUUACGUUUUUUAAAGUUAGUUUAAAGUUUGUUAUGUAACACAUCAUGCCUAACAACGAGAAUGAGUACGCCCCAAUCCCCUGGGAUCUAAUCCAGGGGAUUUAUGAUUUGUAUCAAUCAAAUGAUUGUUACACCGUUAUACCUAUACUAGAAUUAAUUUUUCCAUAUGUAAUAUUAAUUUUUUAACCUAUAAUGAUUCUGACUACAAAUGGUUGUAUUGAGGACUUGCUCGUCCAAGGGGAGCACAUAAUUUAUAGUUAUGUGACCCCCACCGACUAUUUACUCAUUGCGAGGAGUGUUUUUUUAUAAAGUUCGGAGGAGUAAUGCCACUCAACCCAUUAGUCAUGGUCGACUUAACCGCUGAAGGUAAUGUGGUAUUGUUGAAGGUUGUUAGGUUUUAAAAUGGAUGAGUUUUUUCCCAACUACAUGUGAAUGUAUUUUACCCAAAGGUUCGUACAAUUCUACCUCUUACAAAAGAGUAAUCAAAAGUAUUACAGCAAUACUGCUUACCACGGUAAUAUGGUUCAACGGACGAUGACCUGUUACUUAAUUAAUUUGUUAAGCAUACAUUUUAUAGUUUAAACGUUUUAUAAUUUAUUUAAAUAAUUAUGAAUAUGGAUACAUUACAGUAA